UACGUAGGGACCAAGCGUUGUCCGGAAUCAUUGGGCGUAAAGAGCGUGUAGGCGGCCUGUUAAGUCUUGCGUGAAAUCUCGGGGCUCAACCCCGAGCGGUCGUGAGAAACUGGCAGGCUAGAGUGCGGGAGAGGAGAGUGGCGAAUUCCUGGUGUAGCGGUGAAAUGCGCAGAUAUCAGGAAGAACACCCGUGGCGAAGGCGGCGUCUCUGGGCCGAUACUGACGCUGAGGAGCGAAAGCGUGGGGAGCGAACAGG
rnacentral:rRNA from 1 species